AGGCGAUGCAAGCCGCCAUGUUGGACAGAAGAAGUGGCUGUCUGUCCACGUCGGACUCGGAGUCUGCAGUAGUGUUUGAAAAGGUCUGUUGAGAAAAGGGGAAAACACUCGGACUGGACUUGAAUCAGGUGCUGGUUUUCCUCCAGACCUCAUCUUCCUUCAACAUUUUUGACGGUGUGAUGUUUUUUUUUUUUGUAUUUGUAACAUCAUCCUGUAUUUGCUCUGACUACUUAAAUAAAACUUCUCCUGCGUCCUAAA